rnacentral:rRNA from 1 species
UGAAUACGAGAUGCUACGGCGUCGAAGCAGUGUAUGUCAGACUUCCAAGAAAAGCUCGCAAGGUCAUAAAUAAAGAAUGCCUGUACCAUAACCGACACAGGUGGGUAGGUAGAGUAUACUAAGGGGCGCGAGAUAACUCUCUCUAAGGAACUCGGCAAAAUAACUCCGUAACUUCGGGAGAAGGAGUGCCUUCUAUUAGAAGGUUGCAAUAACAAGAUCCAAGCAACUGUUUAUCAAAAACACAGGUCUCCGCUAAGUCGUAAGACGAUGUAUGGGGGCUGACGCCUGCCCAGUGCCAGAAGGUUAAAGAAGUUGGUUAGCUUUGGCGAAGCUGAUGACUGAAGCCCUGGUGAACGGCGGCCGUAACAAUAACGGUCCUAAGGUAGCGAAAUUCCUUGUCGGGUAAGUUCCGACCCGCACGAAAGGCGUAAUGAUUUGGAUACUGUCUCGGAGAGGGACUGGCGAAAUAGACUUGUCUGUGAAGAUGCGGACUACCUGCACCAGGACAGAAAGACCCUAUGAAGCUUUACUGUAACUUGAAAUUGAAAUUGGACUUUAUUUGCGCAGCAUAGGUGGAAGGCGUGGAAGGUAUUCUUGCGGGAGUACUGGAGCCAUCAGUGAGAUACCACUCCUAUAAUGUUAGAUUUCUAACUUUGGAUCAUAAUCUGGUCAAAGAACAGUUUCAGGCGGGCAGUUUGACUGGGGCGGUCGCCUCCCAAAUGGUAACGGAGGCGUACAAAGGUUUCCUCUGAACGGGUAGAAAUCGUAUCUAGAGUGUAAAGGCAUAAGGAAGCUUGACUGUGAGACCUACAAGUCGAGCAGGGACGAAAGUCGGUCUUAGUGAUCUGACGGUGCUGAGUGGAAAGGCCGUCACUCAACGGAUAAUAGUUACUCUAGGAUAACAGGCUGAUCUCCCCCAGGAGUUCACAUCGACGGGGAGGUUUGGCACCUCGAUGUCGGCUCAUCGCAUCCUGGGGCGGUAGUACGUCCCAAGGGUUGGGCUGUUCGCCCAUGAAAGCGGUACGCGAGCUGGGUUCAGAACGUCGUGAGACAGUUCGGUCCAUAUCCGGUGUAGGCGUUAGAAUAUUGAGAGGAGCCUUCUUUAGUACGAGAGGACCGAGAAGGACAUACCUCUGGUGUACCAGUUAUCGUGCCAACGGUAAACGCUGGGUAGCUAUGUAUGGAGAGGAUAACCGCUGAAAGCAUCUAAGUGGGAAGCCCACCUCAAGAUGAGUAUUCUCAUCACGAAAGUGAGUAAGGUCACGGUAAGACUAACCGUUCGAUAGGCAUUAAGUAUAACUAUAGUAAUAUAGGAGCUGAGAUGUCCUAACAGACCGAGGACUUGAAU